UGGGGAAUUUUGGACAAUGGGCGAAAGCCUGAUCCAGCAAUGCCGCGUGUGUGAAGAAGGCCUUCGGGUUGUAAAGCACUUUUGUCCGGAAAGAAAUCCUUGGCUCUAAUACAGUCGGGGGAUGACGGUACCGGAAGAAUAAGCACCGGCUAACUACGUGCCAGCAGCCGCGGUAAUACGUAGGGUGCAAGCGUUAAUCGGAAUUACUGGGCGUAAAGCGUGCGCAGGCGGUUUGCUAAGACCGAUGUGAAAUCCCCGGGCUCAACCUGGGAACUGCAUUGGUGACUGGCAGGCUAGAGUAUGGCAGAGGGGGGUAGAAUUCCACGUGUAGCAGUGAAAUGCGUAGAGAUGUGGAGGAAUACCGAUGGCGAAGGCAGCCCCCUGGGCCAAUACUGACGCUCAUGCACGAAAGCGUGGGGAGCAAAACAGGAUUAGAUACCCUGGUAGUCCACGCCCUAAACGAUGUCAACUAGUUGUUGGGGAUUCAUUUCCUUAGUAACGUAGCUAACGCGUGAAGUUGACCGCCUGGGGAGUGCGGUCGCAAGAUUAAAACUCAAAGGAAUUGACGGGGUCAUAGCUGUAUCCUG
rnacentral:rRNA from 1 species